UACGGGGGGGGGCAAGCGUUGUUCGGAUUCAUUGGGCGUAAAGGGUGCGUAGGCGGCGCGGUAAGUCGGGUGUGAAAUCUCGGAGCUUAACUCCGAAACUGCAUUCGAUACUGCCGUGCUUGAGGACUGGAGAGGAGACUGGAAUUUACGGUGUAGCGGUGAAAUGCGUAGAUAUCGUAAGGAAGACCAGUGGCGAAGGCGGGUCUCUGGACAGUUCCUGACGCUGAGGCACGAAGGUCAGGGGAGCAAACGGG
rnacentral:rRNA from 1 species